UGGCAUUUAUUGCACCUUUCAUACACUAAUAUCUACCAGCCGAAUUGCUAUCCACGAACAUGCCGAUGGAUGUUCGAGAAAUCGAGGAAGUCCAACUCACCGUGACCGGAUAGCGAGCGAAUAUGUUCGCCCCAUGCUGGAUGCCAAUGCCUGGUCGUUCAUGUGUAUGGUCACGAGAACGGUGGCAAGUUCGAACAAUCAUGUUCGUCCAUUUCAGUGUAGGCCUCGCAUGACGGUGUCGCAGAAGCAUGGAUUGGCACACGCGCAGGACGUCCGCGCCGCUUGCCGACCCAAAGCCAAAGAGCAAGAUCCCGCUCCCUGUCGUGCCUGACUAACCUAGCCGUUAUGUGGCGCUAACAGCGCAACACUCAUGCCAUCUCUCGUAAUGCGCUGUAACCAGACUGCACCGACACUAAGCUACAUGGAGAAGCUGGAUCACAGGCGACGCGAGACAUGCGGGGAAAACAGCAUAUUAGGGGACACGUGACAGUAGCGCAUCCCCACAGUUUUUGCCCUCAGGCAACCAGCUCGAGCCUCAAAUAGCAAGGCACUGCCCUUAGUGUUAUCGUACAGAUUUUGCCUUCCAAUGUCGUUCUUCUCAUUCUUAAAAAUCUACAAGUUCCUUUUUUGUUUCAAUUUUUUGCAUACAAUUCAAUGCCUCUGUUUCUCUUUCUUUUUGAUGACUCCUGGUUGUCUAUGUGCACUUUCAAUUACCCUGUACUUGGUUGGCAACUUUCUUGACCUCUUCCUCCCUCCUGUGUCCACACUUUUCAUGUACAGAUAGAUACUUGUGCAUUUUAGCCGGCCAUUUAUUUUGCUCCAAGUUCCUGAGUCUUUUUUCAAAACUAAUUUUGCUCUGCGCUUCUCCGACUUCAAUACAGGCCCAACCUAUGUCACCCUGCACUGCUUCAUUUGUGGUUUUACCAUAGGCUCCCAAAGCCAACCGGCCAACUGAUCUAUGGUUAACUUCCAACCCUGACAAGAUAUCCGAUUUUAAGCACAGAAUGACAUUUGUGAAUGUCAGCGCUGGCCCCAUUACUCCUUGCCAGAUCCCAUGCACCCCAUGUGCCACUUCAAAUUUAUUGUGGCCCCACAGUGCUGUGCUUCAUUAUUGCUGCAUUCUGCUCGCCCUUUAAUUUCAGAUUAUCUUGGUGAGUGCUUGAGUAAGUAUUUCUUUCAUUUAUGUAUACACUAAGGUACUGCUCGACUAUGGGUAUGACUUGCUGUUGAAUUGACACCACGAAAUUACUCGUCCCUUCAUUAAAAAUCAUAAUUUGUGAUUUCUCUGUGCCAAACUUAAGGCCUAGAUUUGUCGCUGUGUUGCCACACAUAUUCGCAAGUGUCUAUAAAUCUCUUGCAUUGUCCACUAGUAGCGCUGUGUUGUACGCAUACAUCAGUCUGGGGACCUUCUGUUGCACCGUUUGUCCAUUACGCAUGUAAGAUAAAUCAAACCCUAAUUCACUGUUUUCCACUCAUCUUCCAAUGCCCUUAACAUAAAGAGUGAACAACAAUAGAGACAGCGGACAUCCUUGCUUAAGUCCUAGGUGAAUUUCCCCCACAUCAUUACAUUUUCUUUUUUCCUUCCCUAAGAACACUCGGCACCACCUAGCAGCGUCACCACAAAGCCGUGACCUUUGAAAUUCAGGGCGUGCUGGUGCGUGUAAACACUGAGAAACGCAUCCUGGGGCACCCGGGCUCCUCUCUCUGGAGACGCUGUGCCAUCUAGUGGCACUGCCGAGAAGUCUGCGCGUAACCUCCGAGAUGAGAAGCGUGGCACGCCGGUGGCUGCAAAUGCUGAGAAUUCUUCCCUUGCUUGCCGCACACCCAGUGGCACAUACUCAGUCCCCCAAGUUAGCGAAAGGUUCAUUGAAGAGCGGCACAUACCCAGUGCAUUUGUGGUGCAGCUUGCUAAACGUAAGGUUGAUGUCCUUGAGUAACUCAUCUGACAUGGAUUAGACUUCACCCUGCAUCGGAGAAAUCUAAAGUGUAAUGAAGAAUGCCUGGAUGAAGGCAGCAGCAUUGCCAACAGCAUCACGUGCCGCAGAGGGCUGAGCUUAGAGAAUGUGCUUAGUGAACUGCUCUACCCAUCAUUGGUCCUUCGUCUAAUAAACCUCCUUCAUAAUUGGUGGAUGUGCUGAGUCCCCCUCAACUCUACCACCCUGGAACUCCGCACUUGGACGCUACCUUCCACCAUGCCAGAUGCCGACCAGCAGACACUCCCAUCACCGCCCGUCCUCUGCGCUGGCACUAUUCACCAGCAGGAUCCUACCAUCUUCAGCAGAUGGAUGACAAUGACGUCGAAGAUUGGCUUGCGUCCUAUGACUGGGUGUGGCCAAUCUCCGGUUCAAAAACCAUAUGGCGGAUUUCCGAAUGUGGUCAACAUUCAAGACAGCAUUCACAGAAGUAUUUAACCAUCCCACUGUCCACAAACUUCGAGCCGAGCAGCAUUAGCGCACAUGCGUAGAGGACAUAGGUGAAACAUUCACCAGUUACAUAGAAGAUGUCGUCGAUCUGUACAAAUGCAUCAAUGCCAGCCACCAUGUCUGAAGCAGAAUGAAUUAAGCACAUCAUAAAAGAAAUUGAUAAUGAUGCCUGAUAA